UUAAGUUCAGCGGGUAUCCCUACCUGAUCCGAGGUCAAACAUGGGGGGGUUUGCUUCUGGGAGCCGCCCUGCCGGGGCACGAGACCGCGUUUCUGCUGCGCUCGUGGCCGGCGGGGGGCCGCCAAUGGAUUUGAGGUGAGUCCACGCGCGGGGCGGGACAGGCACCCAUAACCAAGCGGGGCUUGAGUAGUUAUAUGACG
rnacentral:misc_RNA from 1 species